GCCUCUGGGCCUGCACCUCAGAGACCUGGGACUCCAUGUUGCAUAACUUGUGAGUUACUGGUGGUGACUCCGUGCUGCAGCACUUUCCACGUCUCCCUCUGGUCUCCGAAGCCCUUGCUCCACUGCCAGUUUUGUUUGUAUAAUGUCUGGUCACGCUCCUGUAUGGCACUCACCAAGGCCACCAUCACCUACAAGCUGCUCCGUUAGACCUGCUGCCCACAGCCUGUGUUGCUGGCACCAGCUCCCAUGUGCCACUGGAGGACACUAGCUCCCUUACAGCCUUGGAGAGUUUGGCUGACCCACCACUCAUUUUGAUGAAAUGUGGGUUUGCUUUUUAAAGAAACCCUAUAUCUAGCCCUAUAUAUCAAGCCUCUUACUGGUGUUUCUUUGCUAGGAAGCAGGUUGGUGUGUGCAGGCAGACCCUGUACUGGCCCCAGCCAGUUCCGUUGACGCAGGCACCUUUGGUUGAUUUCUAAGCCACACGCUAUGAUGAUGAUGAAUAAACUCGUUUGUUUUUUACCAUUACUGAACAUUAGGACAUCAAAGAAUAAAAACACAAAACACAGACAACGGUGCUGAAUCUGGUGUGGUCUCUACUCACCACAUGAAAAUAAACUAUCAACUGUAAAAAAAAAAAAAGAAAAAGAACAAAAUGAUUUUAGAAUAAAGUGCAGGAAAAACUUUUUUAAAAUGUUAGUCUUGUAGCUGAAUAAAUUUGCCAUCACCUUUUGUGUGGUGGCCGGGCAGGUCAUGUACUUUUUUUUGGCAUAUACCUUUCUAAAUACUGUAAUUAGUGCAGCGACAGUGGGUGGUUUUUUUGUUUUUUGUUUUUCUUUUGUGUGUGUGUGUGUGUGUGUGAGUGUGUGUGACUCUUCUAAAACAUUCAUAAUGCAGUCAUGUUUAUUUUUUUCUGUUAAAAUGUUUUUUGACAGUUUUAUGAGCAGUCUUUUGGCUCAGACCAUUUCUUGUUCUGUUUUC
rnacentral:lncRNA from 1 species